AUAUAUAUUUCUGUUUUGGAAUCUAUUUAACUGGCUCUUGUGUUAUCAUUAUCACCAAUACCUUGCGGAGAGAUGUACGAGCUCUGUGCCAUUGCUGCUAUUAUGAGGUACUUUAACUUUUGCCCACGGGAUGAAUAGAUUGGAAAGGAGGGUUUUGGGGGAAAAAUCCUUUCAUCAUAAUCACUCUGAAAAACAAAAAAUGCUGAAGAUCCAUAACAAUGUCAGCCGCACCUGCAAUAAUCAUUUAAAACACAGUAGCUAAAAUGCCAAGGAACAAAGCUUCCAAAAUAGCUUCCUAUGUGCACUGUGUUCAAACUUCACACAAGUAAAAUAUUUGUCAAUUUGUGUGUAACACAGGAAUUUAUGUAGUUUAUUUCAGACAUAUUAUUGAGUGGAUAACCUGCAAACUGAUGGGGAAUAUAUACAGGCUGAUCCUAGGGGGAAGUUUCAGAGACAGCAGGCAGCCAGGGAGUUUAUAAAUCCCCAAAGCUCAUGAGAGAAAUGGUCUGACUCUAUAGUUCUACAGUAAAUCAAAAGAGAAAAUUGAGUGAAAAAGGAAGCGCAGAAUGCUUACUCUAAUAUUUAUGAACCAUUCUUUUUUCAUAGUUGUGUUAGAGCUAGUAGGCAGGCAGGAAGGCAGCAUCCGUCCCUGGAGCUGCAAGGUAUUUGAAUGUUGAAAAAUGCAUGAGCGUUUUUGUUGAUAGAAACACAGAUCAGCCUUUGAUGGAUGGCGACUGGUACCUCAACACAAAAGUGAGUACUGCUUAUGUGCUUCCUAUCUUUAUUGAUAAUGCUGUGACUGAGUGUGUGGGCUCCCUGUCUGUCUGCAAGAAGGUCAUUUAUAAGAACAUGAACGUAAUUCAAAUAUAUAUGAAAGAAAUUCUUCAAAACAUUGUUUGUGAAAUAAUUUAAACAAAAACUCAGUCAUGUAGUCUUAGUCACAGAAAAACCCACCUCACAGAAUAACCCACCUGUCUUAAAUCGUGUUCACACUGUUGACUUACCAAUACAGUUCAAUCACAUCAAAUUAUGAAUAGAUAUUCUACAGCUGAAACUGCAGCAUUUAAUGCUAGAACCUUUCUUUGAAAUCCCCACAAAGAACAAAAGACAUGGAACGGCAAUACAAGGGGAUGUAAAAAAUAAAGGCUAGAUAUUAUCUCAUAUUACAUGGUCACACAAGGUAACCUUGUAAAUUGUAUACAAAUAGUGAUGGGAAAAACGUUCUCAUUUCAGAAAAUAUUGUUUCAAUAUUGGUGAAAAAUACAAGAUUUGGAAAUGUUGGAAUUUGUGAUUAAUUUAGUCUGGCGAAUCAUAACAUUGUAAAAGCCAGCUAUAUCACGAUGCGGUGGGGAGCAGGAUCCAAAAGCAACCACAGAGCAGGGGUAUUGGAUGAACAACAGGUUUAUUGAAUAUGCUCUCAGUUCAAUAUAAGGGACCCAGCUGGCCAACGGUGUGGUGUUCGGUGUUCCGACAUCCAGGCAGCAGGCAAUCUCGACUGUGUGGAUACUGGGGUCCUACACAAGGGAGAGAUUAGAUCACUGCACUGUGUCCGUGGACCGACGUGGGUCGAGGUGUCCUUCCACAAGACCCCAACAUUGCCCCUGUGGCUAGAACUGCUAUGUGUACUGUACGUGUGUAAGAUAACACAGUUCACAAACUGGUGUAUCAAACUACCAGCUCAAAUGACUGUAGGAACUGGCAUCCAAGGCCUGCAGGAACAGGGCUUAAAUGUUGCCAAGAGAUGAGAAUGGAUGACAAUCAGGAGUUUCGGCCAGUUGACAAUCGGCUUUAUCCUCUGCAGCUGUGCACCAAUCAAAGGAGUCAACAUGGGAGGUGUCCUGAGGGUGGCAGAGGAAAAAACACAGAGCACAUUGCAGACAACAACAAACAGGGGAAUGACAGAAAACAUGUGGAUGGGCUAUCGGGGAAACCAAAAAACGGGUCAGAAAAGGAUCCUUACAUAGGGUUACAUCUAUCAGGCUCUAUCCCCAAUCUUUUCAGCUAAUACUGUUAGUGGUGUAGAAGUAAGUGAAGGCACCAUGCCUGUAUGCUGUGCCCCUUUUCAUGCCUGAAUGUCUGUGCUAACCAGCUGGCCCCUAUCCUCACAAUGAUCUUCAGCCGAUCAGUGGAGCUGUGUGAAGUACCUUCCUGCUUCAAACGCUUCACCAUCAUCCACAUCUUCAAGAAAUCCUCCAUUUCAGGAAUAAAUGACUACAGGCCCAUCACCCUGAAGUAUGUGGUCAUGAAAUUCUUUGAGAAGAUGGUGUUGAUUACGCUGAAGGUCAUCACAGAACCCCAGGUGGACCCCUUGUAGUUUGCCUACAGGGCGGCAGAUCAGUGGAUGAUGAAGCCAACAUGGGACUGCACCACAUGCUGCAUCACCUCGACUCGCCAGGGACAUGUGCAGGGGUUCUGUUUGUGGACGGGUUCUUUUUGUGGUGCUCCCAAUUACUUGAAACCAAACUCUCCCCCCACUGCUCAUCUAGCUCUACACUAACAACUCCACCUCAGAAGACCGAACUGUUAAACUCCUAAAGUUCACAGACUACAACAAUCAUCGGCCUCAUUAGGGACUGCGAUGAGUCUACAGAUGGGAAGUUGGUAUAUACACAUACUUGGUAUAUUUAUAUUGUUUAGUGGUUAAAUGUUCAGUUUUACAUCUAUUUCAACUUUUUCCUGUUUUCCUUGUUUUGUAUUACAUACGCCGAUAAAGCACUAAACUUGAAUAGACUACAUGGAUUUAGUUGAAUUCCAACAUUUUUCAUGGAUCCAAAUAAUUUUGCUGUGUCUAGUCAGCAUUUGUAAACCAAAUUGAUGCAUUUUACUUAAAAACAUAAGAAGGUUUUGUGACAGUUUUUUUAAAUAUACAUUGUUGUUUUUAAAAACUGGUGAUGUUCUGUCUCAUCUCAGUCAUACACCUGGACAAGUGCUAUGGGACGUGUCCUAGCUGGUCCACAUGCUAAAUCUUUAUCUGACUCCAAAUAAUCUGAUAUUUAUGUGAGAGGAUAAGGAUAAAGAUGUUAAUUUUCAUUCUAAAAAAAUACAAAGAAAUUAAGUCAGCGACUCAUCAGCUGGUACAUGAGUAAGAGGUACAUUAGGUUAUUAAUUAAGUAAAAUACAUAUAUAAUACAUAAAACAUAAAACACAGGCAUCAAUGGCUUGAAAGUGAAAAGGGGCUUUGUUAAGGUGAUGUGUUAUUGUUUAUUUUUGUCCCCCCGCAGCACCGUCAGGUGUGAGCUGGUGGUGAUAGAGGAAAUCGCUCUGGGGAAAAAGCUGUUCCUUAGCCGGUUAGUCUGGGUUUUAGUAGUCCAGAAUCUUCGUCCUGAUGAAAGUGGAACAAACAAACACACCCCAGUUUGAUUGUCUUGUAGAUGUUGCUGGCCUUCUUCUGGAGGUGGCCAGCAUACACAGGGUUGAGGUCAGGGCCACAAUCCUCUGUGCUGUCCCAACAACCCGGGCCAGGUCCCUCCUGUACUCUGCUGUUCAGCUGGCAUACCACACAGUAAAGAAUGACCGAUGAUUCUUUCUAGCACACUCUAGAAGUUAAGCAGAAGUUCAGGGGGCAGGCCUGUUUUAGCUUACUCAGGUAGAAGAGCCUCUGCUGGACUUUCAUCACUAGGUGUGAUGUGUUCAGGCACAAGUGAGGUUUUUAAAAAGUGGAGUCCCAGGAAUUUGAUGCUGUCCAUCAUUUCCGCCUACUCCUCACUUAUAUAGUGGAGAGAGGAUGUGGUCUUCAAGGAUCUCCUGAAGUCCACUAUGACUUUCUUGGUCUUUGGUGGUGUUAGGGAUUUAAGCAGAAGAGCACACCUAAUGGUAGAAAUGAUAAUACAUGGGAUGAUGUUUGUCUGUUAUUAGAUAUUAGUAAUUACAUUAGUAUGUUAGAUUAAUAACUGCAAUAUGGAUUAAACACUUUAUAGUGAUUCAAGUCAUUUAAUUACUGUACAUAUAAACAGCCUGCCACAAUGUAAAGUUAAAAUUUGGGAAGGAUGUUAAAUCCUUCCUUGAUGGAUUUAUUCCACAAGAGGGUUUUUAUGGAAGGUUUUGUCUCCUGUCAGGUUACGGUUAAUGAGCAAGAAUUCAGGACAGCCCCGUGAGGCAAAUAUUUGCAUUUUCGACCUGAUACAGUAAAAUACCUGACAGUUAAACAUAAUCGUUAAAAUGUGAUGAACUGUGAUCAUUUAAGAUGUGUUAUUAUUAAAGUGUAAUAGCUAUUGUUGGGGUUUUAAGUAGAAGUGCAUGCCUAGUCAUAGAAUUUAUAGUACAUGUAGGAGUGUUUAGUCUGGAAUUGUGUGGUGAUGUGAUGUGAUUUGAAUCAAACACAAUUUAUAGUCAUUUAAAUCAUAUAAACACCGUAAACAUUAACAUUCUGUCACAAUGUGCUGUCAGGUAGUAAAUGAACAACUUGAGACUAUACAUACCAGUCCUUGUAUACAGUCAAUCAUAAAAAGCUUGGUCUGCAAACCAAAUUUCCUCAACCUUCUUAGGAAGUACAGCCUCUGCUGGGCCUUCUUGGUGAUCUGGAGUGUGUUGUGAGACCAGGUAAGGUCCUCACUGAUGGGAGUUUCCAGAAAUUUAAAGCUUUUCACCCAUUCCACCUCAGUCUCACCAAUGGAAAGGUGUGUGUGCUGCACCUUCUUCUUGUUAUUUUGAGAUAGAGAUUGUUAUUUUGUGUUCAAAAAUGAAGAAACUCCGGACGAACGGAGGAUAUCUCGAAUCGAAAAAUGUAUAAUCGGCCGAGAAUUCGAAGGCUUCUCCAAUCCACAGACCACAGAGUCCUUUUGUCUAUAACAUAGUUAACCGUCUACCGUUCCACCUAUGAAUCUCGACAUACACGUACAUUUACAGUUGUGGUCAAAAGUUUACAUGGAGCUUAAAUGGCAGUUCUGGAAGGAAGACUCUACACAGUGGGUCAUUUAGGAAUGGCUGGCAUCUCAGCAUUUCACAAACAGCGAGUGGGGGAGGGGGUGUCCACGAGUAACAAUCAACCAACCAGAUGCGGGCUGGGUUGGUCAACCAAUCGUAACGUUUCUGCCGAACUUUUUAAGGAGUGAUCUCUGCGGGUCCUGUCGGCUGUCAUUGCAGGUCAGGCCGAAUGCAAACUAGUGCGGGUAUAAUACGGAUGAUCUUGCUUACCCUGUUAAAUCAGAAUUAGAGGGAGAGCCAGGUCGGAUAAAGGUCGGGCCCAAUCUUGGUGGUCAGCCGUAGAGGGCUCUCAGCAGUCGGGGAGGGCCUCGUAGGAGUACUCGCAGGGUGCGUCACAGCGGCUCCCCCGGACAGGAGCAAGAAGCCCUCUGGCAGCAACUGGGAGAGCAUGGCGUAUCAGCAGCUCCAGACCUCUCAUCGCCGAGCUACGCGAGUUAACAAGGGUGGCAGUUAGCCAGGAUGUAGUUGAUAACUUCCCAGCGGCGGUGGGGCGGAAAUGAGCCAAGAAGGCUGGCGCAUCCCAAGCGCCGCAGGAGAACAGGAAAUUCGUAACAUCUCGGGCGCGCUGUCCUUCCGCGACUCCCGGCCCAUCGGAGACAGACAACGGUCAUUUCCACCCUGCAGUCGCUGGUGAGCUCCAUCCAGACCAUCAAUGCAUGCCUGCAGUACCUGGAAAGCGCCGGAACGCCAUGAGCGCCAGUCACCAUCGCCACAACUCAGGACUCCAGGAGGCUAUGAGGCGGCAGGCUCGUUCAGGCAUUGGUAACCGCGCAGAUCGAUGCCCCCCAAUAUUCUCUCGCGCCUGCAGCCCCUGUGAUUCCAAUGGGUAGGCCGUACAUUGCACUGGCGUUUGGGGUUGUUAAGGUUUCGGAAGCUCUCAAGGGAGGACUCAAUCCUUUGUUCUCGUCCCGGCCGGAAACGAGGACACGAAUGAGUCAAUUCGUUUAAAUUCAAAAAUCAAAAGUUAUUUAAUAACUGAACAACGUAAUAGGGAUUACAAUUACAAAGUGAAAUACUAAGCGAACAGUGGAAUAUUUUGCGAAAUAGAGAAUCCUCUGAGCAAGUCUGAAGUGACUUAUCAACGCGGCUGCAGGAGUCUUUUCCCCGCCAUGGUCCUUUGAAACCUCUUGAGGUGUGUCUUCCUUGGUGCAUUUGAAUGUCAUUGGCCUCUUCUCCAAAGGGUCACCUCCUCCAUUGUCCCUUCCACGUCGAGGUGUGAAUCUGCAGCUGUAACCUGAAACCUCUCUGUCCUAGCUGUCCCUCACAUUCCAAUGCACUCAAUGUAGAUACAGUUGGCUUUAUGCCCCAAUGAGUGAAUUUAACAAAGCAUACAUCGUUUAAGUCUCCAUCUUAUAACUAGUACACUUUCAUUACAACAACCCAUCAUUAAUGAUCACCGUUCAUCACACUUCAUCUUAAGAUCUAAAACAGUUCAUGUGGUCCAAUUCUCAAGACAUUUGCCUCAGUCGGCUGCCUUACAUUAAGUUGUUCAUUUAUUACCUGACAGGAGAAAAAACUCCCAAAAAACCCUCUUUGGGGAUAAAAUUGGGAGAAAUCCAUAAAGAACGGCAAUUGGCAUCCGUCCCCAGGUUUUAACAUCACAUUGUGACAGAAUGUUAAUGUGUACAGUGUUUAUAUGAUUUAAAUGACUAUGAAUUGUGUUUGAUUGAAAUUGCAUUCACUUCAUCUAACAUGUUAAUGUAAUAACUAAUAUCUAAUAACACACAAACUAUAAUUCUAACACUAAACAUUAUUACACGUACUAUAAUUCCCUGACUAGGGGUGCACUUCUGGCUUAAAUCCCUAACAGGGUAUAUCGGGACGUGUUGUGUACGGUCUACCCAGAAAGAAGACAGGAGCUGGAUACGUAUAUGGCACUGAUCGGCGAGCUCAGAAACAUUUCGAAACAACAUCCCUCGACACCAAUGAACAGCCAGGCUUUUGCAAGUGAACUGUCAUCUCAUCCAGACAAUGUGUCCGCGGACCAUUUGCUCGCGGGGUUGUCGUGUGGGUGUCCUUACUAGGCCAACGGCAACAUAUGUAGCGAGGAAUCUGCUAUCGGCGGUAAAUUGUUACAAAGGGUGGAAGGCAGGACCCAGACGCAGAAUUUUGAAAAACCAAAAGACUUUAACAGAGGCAUGAAACUACAAAAUAAAACAAUACGUGAACCCAAACCGUUACAGAUCCUCCCAUCAAGGGUCGAAUUCCAGACAGCCCUAAAGGGCGGGCGGAACUGGCCACCCGGGGAACUCCCCGCAUCUCACUCGCACGUAACUCCAACUCGCGCAUUUUAUAAAGCAGUCUCUCCCUCCGAAAUUGAAACUCCCGCUCCUCCUUGUCUAAGUGAAGACGAGCAAGGCGCACCUUUAUACUAUGCUUUGUCCCCUCCCCACCACUCUGUACAACUGCCGUGGAACUCUUCGGCUGCCGCUCAGCCACCAUUUGAGGACCAGAGCCCUCGUCGCCCCGCGCAGAUACCGGCAAGCUGAGAACCCCUCUACUACAUAAUUCACUAAGAAGAACAGCCUUCAGCUCCCCUUUUGAAACCGAACAUGACACUGGCACACUAUAAUACGUGGACAUCUCUCUCAACUCACUCUUUUUACACCUCUCGAACUGAGUGAGAGAAGUUGCACGCCUUCAACUGCCAGCUCCAUCAAGCUCUUCCUGGCUUCCCCAGCCUUUUAUCCCCCUUUUGCUUCAAUCAGCUGAUUGCUUACAGGGCCGCUUGGUAAGGAGUUUCACCUGGUAGUUCCAGUCAGGAUGCCGAGCUACAGAGAGAGAGAGAGAGACCACCCGUAACAGGACAAGGCAGGAAGUGAAGUUAACCCAGGAGCACCAAAGGCAUGAAACUACAAAAUGAAACUACAAAAUGAACCCAAACCGUGACAUAGAUGACCCAGAUACGGUUGGUCAGCUGAUCGAAAAAGAAGUGAAGAGGAAGUAUGUCAUUGGUUCUUUCACGUCCUCAUUUACGGUGUUCCGCGCAAGUCCGAUAGGGGUAGCAACAGGGAAGUAUUCAGGGAAGAAAAGAUUAAUCUUGGACUUAUCUGCUCCCUGGGUAGGCCCACUAGCAAGCGUCAACAGCCUCAUUCCACCUGAACCAUUCUGUCUUCAUUACGCUUAAUUUUGCCAUGCGGGUCAUUCCUCGUUCAUCUACCGGCUUCUGGACAUGGCAUCUUCUGUGUCCAAGCUGGAGGAUCUUCUAUAUCUUGAUGAAGGAUGCUGAUCAGACAUGAGGUUUUUGGCACUUCUGUUAAAGCAAUGAAAUCUGUGGGGUUUGGGGGUUGUUACCAAGGGGAGUGGUUUUCCAGCCACUGGCCUCCGGGUUUUGCAGAGUUGGAGCAAUCCUCCGCACUGUCUGAGAUUUACCCAGUUGCCGUGGACUGCGUUGUCUGGGGGAGGUACUGGAAAUGCAAGCACAUAUCCGUCAUGUGCGAUAACCAAGCCGUAGUGGACAUAAUUAACAGAGGGCGCUCAGCUUCCAGAGACAUUAUGCGAUUCAUGAGGAGGAUCAUGUGGUCUGCUGUCACGCAUAACUUUAUCAUCACCGCCCGUGAUGUGACAGUUCACGAUAACACGCUGGCUGACGCACUGUCUCGUUUUAAAUUUCAGGUUUUCCCGCAGGCUCUGUCCGGAAGCCGGCCCUGUGGGGCUAUCAGUUCCUCCAUUGCACGACCUGAUGCUUUCCUACGUUAUAGCCAGCUGGGGGUAUAUAUGGAGUCUGCAAAACCGUUCAUUUCAUCCUCUUUCAAUUCUUCACUUUCAUGCUCUCCUGAACGGUGAUAUGCACCGGAGUACGCCUCAGAACUAUGCAUCAUCUGUAACUUUUGCCUGGUCUACAUAAUUAUGUAUAAUUUCUGCCCAAAAGUCACUUAAAGGUGUUUGUGGGAUCUGUGAGAGGCAAACUUUAAUGUCACGAGAGGUCCCUACGGAAGGCUGGGAUGUGGCAGUGCUAUUCUAAAAAAAAUAGAAUGAAUUACUGGAAGGUUUUAAAGUAGUAAGUUUUAUUCUUCCACAAAAAACAACUCAGGUGAUGCCAUUUUGUGAUGUGGCCGGCAAUACUAUGCAGGGAUGUAGCAACCCUCUACUACCUGGCCCCUCAUGAUGCCUUAAAACCUUCCAUACACGUUUGUGUAAAAAACACACUCAGUUUCCGAAAUUCUCCCACACCACUCCACUCCUCCGCUCUCUUCACUGGCUACCAGUGGCUGCAUCCAGUUCAAAACAUUGGUGCUCUUGUACCAUGCUGUGAAUGGAUCGGGUCCAGUCUACAUCCAGGACAUGGUCAAACUCUACAUCCCAACCCGCGCACUCCGCUCUGCAUCUGCCAAACUGCUCAGUUUGCUGCAAGUUCAAUUCAGUUUUUCUUUAUAGCCCAAACACAAAAGGCUUUACACUCUGUCCACAUUGAAAGUGGGAUCAAAGUUGGAAGCCCGGUUGGUAGGCCUGUCACAAUAUGCGAUAAAAUGACAUAUCGCAUACUCUCUGAAAUCGCGUGGAAUAAUUUUUGGUGCUGUGAUAUUCAUUUUACAUAUAAAUCACCAACAUUUGAGUUGAUCGCCUCUGUCCUUUUUUCUUGUCCCUUGAAGAAAGCGGGGGCGGGGCUUAAGGCUGGCACAUGCUUCUGCGUCUGCGUCUCCACGCUCAGUCGUGUCGAUGCACUCGUUUCAAUUCAUGGUUCUAAAGUCUUGCGUGUGUUGCAGAGCAAUUUACCUCCAGAACAGGUGGAGUAACGUUUUUUAUCGAAGAUGACCUAGAGAGUCACGUCUUUGUGUGUGGAAGUCGUUGGUUUGUCUAUUUAUUUAUUUAUCAUAGACUUUAUUGCCCCGUGCAAUUGCCCCGGACAUGUGAGACUCCAGAAAGGAUGUAGGCUUGCGUAACUUUUGCCGCAAGCCUAGUAAAAUGGGUCGACGCACGCAAGGAGGUGUGAAAAGGGAUGCAAGGGACCCUUGCAUCUGCGUGUCCUUUUGUAUCCUGCGUAUACCCUGUUAUUAGUGGUAUAAAAUGGCCUGAAAAUUUCAAUGAUAUCUCAUUUCACGCUUAAUGAACAAAAACUUGAUAUCGUGACAGCCCUACAGAUAUUCCCAACUGGUACCAGUUGGGAAUAUCUGGUAGAAUUCAGCUGAACAACUUCUCUCAUUCUGAUAGAUUAAUCGUCAGAUCACAGGUCUAUUAGCGCUGCGUUUGCAAGGGCAUUGAGCAGUUCUGUCGCCUGCAGGAAAAAAAUUACGUUUUGUAAUGUAGAAUUAGAAAACGUGUGAUAUAGAAGAAACAAUUCCUAUUGGCCUUAAAAAAGCGUUGAGGAGCAGGUCUUCCCCCGCGAUAAUAGACCCAAUCACAUACAAUGUACAAUAGUGUGGGAUGUGUUUCUAACUCUCAUCCUUAUCAAACCUGGUUGGCACCUUCGGCUUUGCUUCCUGACCUUACAUCCUCAACCAGGAUAAGACAGUAACUCCCUAAAUGAGCAGUAGGCAGACUGUCAGCUUUUAUUAACUCAUACACCAGCAGCCAUUAUGAUGGUGCAGCGGGUAGCGAUAUGUGUUUCUAGUCAUAGAACAAGGGCCGCAUUUUUUCCACAUCUUCUCUAUUUAUCCUGGACAUUCACCGGCAGUAAGGUUAUUUGCAUAAUUGUUUAUGGAAAGCAUGUAUUUACACUUGGUGAGAAACAAUAUUACCAGCGUUUAAACUGUCAUUGCUGUCAAGUUCUUAAUUAUUAAAUUUGUAACAGAAUAUUUCCUGAGGUGUUGAUGAGGUAUCAAACCACAGAGGCUUUAGAUCCUCUUUAGCUCUGUGUUUUAAUGUCAUAUUUAUUAGUGGAAGUGUGAAAGAUAAGCUAAAGGUCAUAUUGAUUAGGUUCAAUUUGAUUGCAGGACACUUUAAUUAAUCAUGGGGGUAAUACAAUUGACAGGAAUAUUCCAGGCCCACAACAGACUUUUGGGACCAAUCUGAAGUGCUAUUGAUUCACAACCUUUGCCUUCUUCCUCUAAAGAGUCACUUUUGCUGAUCGAGCAUGAGGGAUUGACCUUUAAGUUGUACACAAAACCAAACAAAUCAUGAUGUUUUUCUCUUUAUCUGUCAAAGAGAGAUGUCUGCCUUUAAACACGCAUAAUUUACUUGUUCCCUAUACGCCCACAAACGCACACACACAAAUGUUGAUGCAUUCUCUAUCUGUGCAGUAAAAAGUCUUCAAAACAGUUGGAUAAAAGUCGUUUUCGAAGCUUUCAUUUCUCAUAUUUGGUAAAAUGAGAAAUGUCCUAAAGCGGUCGGUCUACCACUCGUUUGUCCAAAAUAAUAACUAUUAUUAUUUGAAAUGAUGAUACCAUACUAACAAGUUAAACGUGUAACUUGUAUGCUUAGCUACAUACAUCUUUUAUUGCUAUGAAUAUGACACGUUUCACUUGAUACUCUUGCAGCACCUACCACUCUCGGGGCACACAGUAAUACUCCUCUCCGGGUCAACAAAAAACAUGUAUACCAAAUGAACAUACUCACAGGGCCCCUCCAUGAUCCUUGCAAGUGAAAAGAGCUGGUGCAUCAUGGGGGCGUUGUUUGUAAAAUGUUGCACAUUCUAAAACUCUGCUCAGUUUAGAUUUAGCAUAAUCAUAUAUACAAAAAAAUUACGACAAUAUUCGAAUGUCACUUUUUCAAAUAUUUAGAGAGAAAGUCACCGGACAUGAAUGUAAAUUCAUGCAAUAACUUUUCCAAGAUAAUGAUGGCAGUAACAAAGUUGCUAAAUAAUAUAAAUGUCAUCUAAUUGUAGAUGCUAAAUAUCAAAUGUUAAAUGUAAUGUUAACAUAAACAUGUAUUAUAACACAGCAAUAUAGUGUUAUUGACACACACUUCCCUAUCUUUCAGUCAUACAAUCCCAACUCAUGUGAUGGAGGGACCCUCCUCCUCUUGCCCCACACUUUAAACUUUAGUUUCCUGCCUCUUGUGUCCCUGGUUUAACUUCACUUCCUGCCAUGUCCUGUCAUCCCCUGUGAUUGUCUGCCGUGUCAUGAUUGUUCCCACCUGUGUCCAAUGGCUAACCCAUGGCUUUUUACAUUUUUGCCAGGGGAGCAAUUAGGGGUUAGGUGUCUUGCUCAACAUGGAACAGCCGAGGCUCGAACCACCAACCUUGCAGUUCCCUGUGCCCCUGUGCCACGUCGACCCCAACUACGCAAACUAAGCUAAAAACUCACCUAAAACAACUAACAUCCACCUGGUCUUUUAACCUGAACUACUGUCUGUGCCCCCGGACUGCUCGUUCCCCUGUUUGGGCGGGAGGAACGCCAUCCCCAGUCCGCCGUCCUGCGUUCCUCCCCGGCCGGCCAAUUGUCAGCGGCACCGGGCCGCUUCGUCUCUCCCUGCAGCCGCGGAGCGUGUCGCCCUCCAGGCGGUCGAAGCUCUGGGUUUAACCUCCCCACGUUAAACCUUCCCGGCUCUCUACCACUGCGCCACGUCGCGCAGUGGUGAGUGAGGGGUGAGCAAAAUGAGUGACUGUCAUGCUCAAUGCGCCCUGCAUUAUUGUUGGUCAGCUGUUGGUGUGCAAAUUACUGUUGAUGAAAUUAUAACCAGACCCCCCCCCCCUAAAAAAUCCUUUGGCUCUGCACGAUUCACACAAGUCUCUGAAGCGAGCUAAAAAGAUAGUAGCCGCCCCCUCUCACCCCGGACAAAACCUGUUUGUGCCCCUUCCAUCUGGCAGGAGGCUGAGGUCCAUCAGGACUAAGACCUCUCGCCACACGAACAGUUUCUUCCCGUCGGCAGUCGGGCUCAUCAACAGAGCCCGGUCCCCCACUGACUGACUCUGACAUUCCACCGGUCACUUUCUUUCAUACUGCACAUGUCACUUUACUGUCAUUUUUCACUCGUCACUUUGUCACUUGUUCGCUAGUGCACUUUAUUUUUUUACUUGUUAAAUAUUUUUAAUUUUCAACUUUAACUUUAUUCUCUUAUUCUAUACUAACCCAUAGCAUUAGCAUUUUAUUUUAUUACUUGUGCACUGCUGUCUUGUUGUCUAUUGAUAUACUGUCUACUGUCACGCACCAACCGCCAAGUCAAAUUCCUUGUAUGUUUGACAUAUUUUGGCAAUAAAUGUUUCCUGAUUCCUGAAGUUUGACUUGAGUCCUGCUUCCGUCUACCCAAUGUCACACUAAAUAAUGUCUGUUUUGCCCUAUAUGUUUAAUUUUAGGGGUAUAAAGAAAAUGUAUUAUUAAGUAUCUAGCAUUCUAACAUAUCAUUUGAAAUAUCUGUGGUGGCCAGCUUUUUGUAUUUUCUAAAAUCUGCCACGUUACAGGCCUCUUUCUUGACUCACACGUUCGUCCAAAAUAAUACUUUAUUUGCCAUUUCAUCCAAGUUAGCAAAUAAACUAAAAUAAAUAAAUAAAUAAUUGGUCUAAAAUGACUUUUAACUUGAGGUCUAGUUCGAUACAAAGAAACAAAUCUGAGACUCUGCCCUACCUCUUCCUCUUAUUACAGCUGAUCCUCAUUAGGUUAAUUAAAUAAUUCAUGAAGAAAAGCAUGAUCCCACAUAUGAAAUGAAACAUAUGCACAUGUCAAGGCAAUCUAUAUAAAUCACUUUUCUUGCUCCAGCCUCCCUGCCCCCCAGUCAUCAUCCAUCAACACCCCCGAGCCCCCCACUCCUAUACCGCUCUUCUGUCUGAAAUCAUGACUCUUCUAUCCAGUUUGUUCCCAAUUAGAAUCACCAGCCAUCUGUGAAGUUCAAAUUUAAGACAAACAGACAAACUUCAUAACAAUUUUAUUGAGACAAAAAACCUCUCUUGAAAUAAUGAUGUUGCAGACCUGGCUGGACCCUCUGUUUCUUCCUCGGACGUAUGUACAGAGUAGUGAUAUACAGGCUAUAACAUACAAUAAAUACAUAAUGAGGACAAGAUGUUUGAAGUGCCCACUAUUGAGUAAUGCAUUCCUGGGUCUAGGUGUCUGCUGAUGCUGUUGCCUCCCCCGUCUUUGCAGACCUCAUUUCUCCCCCACAGCUGUCAGAUUUACUUCCAAUUAACGUAUAUUGGUUCCAGUCCAACGACUCAACACUGCUGCUGCCACCACUGCUGCUGCUCCGAGAUCACAACUUUCUGCUGUUGCUAGGGUGUAUCUAUUCCUCCUGUGAAAGCCUGAUUGUCUGUACAAUAUAUAUAAUAUGUCAGACAUACAAGGAAUUUGACUUGACGGUUGGUGCAUAACAGCAGACAAUACAACAAUGGAGGACAACAGUGCAGUGAGGCCGAUAAGACGACAAAGUGCAAGAGCAAUAAAAUAAAAUAGAAUGCUAUGGGUUAGUAUAUAAGGAUAUCUGUUAGAUUAAAAAUAAAGAAAUAAAGUUUUAAAAAUGUUAAAACGUUUUUAAAACAGAAAGUGACAAGUGUAUGUGCAUGUGAAGUGUGAAGGGAGUGACCGGUGGGAUGUCAGGGUCAGUGAGUGGGGGACUCGGGCUCUGACUUUAGAAUUGAAACAGUAUUCGGGCUGCGAAUGAUGGCGUUUUACGAGACCACGUCUCUUUACAUUGAAAUCAACAAGGCAACCGUCUCUUUACAAAUUAGACAAACACAUUUACCUCAACUUUCAGUGAAGAAGUAUUGUAAUUCCCACCUCUCCUUAAAGCGGUAGCCCAUUUUUUGCAGUUGCCAUGGCAGAAAGGAUGAGGUUUUGCGUUUGAUGCAGAGCCAGAUAGUAUUACAAUGGUGCUGCCACCGUUUGGUAAAAGGAUGAAUUACAUGUUUAAAUUUAUAUGACCUAUUUUUUCUGACAGCCAGCGUGCAAUAAAAAACACAAUAUAAGACCGAAGCCGCGGGCCGUAUGAAAUCUGACCACGUGCCGGACUUUGGACAUGCCUGGUCUGGGGGCAAAACGCAGACCUGGGCCCCGUUCCUCGUACGUAGCUAACUGAGUUAGUAAUUAGUCAGUUCAGCAACCCAUGGCAUUGGAUAGGAAUCAAAAGGCAGACACAGUAUUUAACUUUGAGAAGUUAACACAGAAUCUCAACUAAGGGUCAUCUUUGGAACCAAAAGAAAGAUGACCCUUAGCCCUUGGUCCCCACCUGCGUUUUUGCCCCCUUGGCAUUUUUUGAUUUUGACUAUUAAAGUAUUUUUGUUUUUCAAAACUCUGCGUCUGGGUCCUGCCUUCCCCCCUUUUGUGACAGAAUGACGCAACCUAAAAAGGACUCAGCAGAGUUUGGCUCUGGGCAGGCCACGCAGCGUUCAGCUGGCUGCCCGUUUCGGGGGAAACAGCUUGCCCUGGAUCACCAGCUGGAUUCCUGGCAGACGCAGUCUGCUCUCCCAGAGCCCCCGGAAAGCGUUCGAGUCGCCGUUGGGUCGCAGCGACUUCUCGACCCCGCUGGGCCGCAGUGCACAACCUUGCGCACUGGGCUGCAGCGAACUCUUGACCCAACUGGGCCGCAGCGCAGCGCACUGCCUCCCACGCUGGGCCGUAGCGACCUCCCAUCCCUGCUUUUUGUUUUUCAAAACUCUGCGUCUGGGUCCUGCCUUCCCCCCUUUUGUGACACUGUCCAUCCCGGGAGUGGGAUCCCUCCUCUUACAUUCACCCUAAGGUUUUUCAUUUUUUUGGUGUUUUUCCUGUGCUGAUGUGAGGGCUAUAGAAAAUAGAAUUAAUUGAAGGUACUUUUGCUGGUCAGCGGGCAGCUAGAAAAACAUCUGCCAGUUCUCCUGCUCGGGUUUCGCUCUUUAAUCCAGGUACGAAGGUCUGGAUUCAGGAUUUUAAGAAACUGCUCCAUGAUGAUGGGGUCUUUAAUUUGUUCCUUUUGUCUUUGCUUGAGGCGCAAUCCACUUGCUCAACAAAUCCUUGAGGCGGACCUGCAGCUCUUUAGGCACAUCCCCCUCGUCCUGGCACAGUGGCACGGAACCUUACUCGAUGGUCUCUGCGCUGAUUUCAAAUUUCCCGCUUUACUUUUGCAUAGUCCAUGUUGUCAAUGUCCAUAGCUGCACAGACAUACUGUGCUUUACUGGUUAGUAAUGAAGCUAGGUGAAGAGCCCACUCAUCCUGACGCCACGAGUAAUUAUUUCAAACAUGCUUAAAUAAUGUUUUUAUGUCCUCACCUUCUUUGUAUGUCUCCAUUUUGGAUCUUUUCCAGCCCCAAACUUGAAUGCUGUCCUCCUGUCGCCAAAUGUUACCGCUUAUCCACCCGGCCUAUCCUGGAUUACUGAGAUCUGAGAGGUUGAAUGGUGGUUAGUCCUACGAAGUGGGCAGAUGUGGCUGCUGCACCAUGUGUAGGUACUGACGAUCCUGUGUUACCUCUUGUUGGAGCUGUACAAAUUGUGCUUGAUUCGGCAACUCUCCUCCUGUCGCUUACACUCUUGUUCUGUCCUGCUAUCGGAGUCCGCCUGUUGUUGCAUUAGGGAUUUCAUCUUGACAGUUCAUUCAUACUUUCUUGCUCAUGGGGUUGGCUACAUACUGUCCCUCAUUGGUUUCAGUCAUCUUGUUCCUCCUCCUGUCGAAUCAGCUGCUUUUGUCUGGUUGACAUUUUAUUAGAUCCUACUUCUGACAUCACUUGUGAGGAUGCCAAAACUAAGUGACUUCUGGAAUCAGUAGGAGGCACACAAGCAAGACCAGGUCAGAAGGGUUUGUAAAAAGGAAGGUGUACACUUGUCAUUAAACAAACAUAAAUAGUUAACAUUAACGUAAAUGAAUAAACUCAACACAACCUAAUCAUUGACGCGCACUCAGCUACACAAAUGGCCACUCCCACAGUCAAUGUCCUCUACCUUUUUGUAGCGCCGUCAAUCAAUCCCCUCUAGGUCGCAUCAUGUCUACAGGUGACCCCUAUUACGACAGACUCUACCCCUGUGUACUUGGAUUGAAAAGUAGCUUGUGCACUCCCCCCGGAUGAGUUUACUGAACUGCUGUCUGUCCUUCUUCCUUUCCUCACCUGUCUCAUCAACAAUGCUCUGUUAUCUGGCUGUUUUCCCAAUUUAACCCUGUCCUGAAGAAACCUACCCUCAACCCUUCUGAAGAAAACAACUACAGACUAGUCUCUCUUCUUCACUUUUUAUCCAAAACCCUUGAACGUGCGAUGUUUAACCAACUCUCCUCCUAGCUCCACUAUAACAACCUCCUUGACCCCCACCAGUCAGGCUUCAAGGCAGGCCCUUGUAUCCCUAUGGUUGAAUGCACUUAUUGUAAGUCGCUUUGGAUAAAAGCGUCAGCUAAAUUACAUGUAAUGUAAUGUUAGUUCAGCGACCAUAUGGCUCUUCUGGUGACUGCAUAUGGCUUCCAGACAAUUUUGAGUUAAAAAAAAAAAAUUAGCUUGGAACCGAUUGUAAAAUACGAAAUGAUAUUUCUUAAUAAUGCUGUGUCAUUUUAAAGUAAACAAAUUAGUUUUGAAGAUAAAUUUCACGGGUCACCCGCAGGUCGGGUAGGGAACCAAAGGCUCGCGAGCAUGUCCGUGUCAUUGUGAAGGUGAAGAAAUCUAUUUUAUCAGAUAGCCAACUAGUUUAUCCGCUUCAACCCUUGUAACGGAAAAGAUGGCAAAAAGAAAAAAAGUCUAUGAUUACCGUGCAUUCCAGGCUGCGUGGACAGAGGAAUUUGCAAGGUGACGGGAAUUCCGCUAGCUUUGCGGGUGCUUUGCAGCACCAGAAGUUGCAUUAAAAGUAAGGUAUAUUUAAUGUAUUAUUAAUUAUUAUUAUGUAUUAUUAAAAAUACUACAUGUCUCUCAAUGAAAUAUAUUUAGAAAUAUUUGGCCUUUAUGUCUCUCCCAGUCAAAAAGGUUCCUGACCCCCGUGUUAGUUCAUCUAUCUAACAGUAUUGUGAGCACUAGAUGUAAUUUCAACAUUGAAACAAGGUUGAAAUUGGGUUAAAAUGAGGACUGAAGGUCUAAGACUUCAUUUCAACGUCUUUUCAACUGGCACAUCAACAUGCUAAAUUUGUUGAUUACGUGUCAACGUUGAUUAACGUUGAAAGAGAGACGAUAUUCUGAUUAAAAUUGUCAUAAUAAUUGAUGAACUGGUCUGCGAAAUUUGGUCUACGCAAAGACGUGAUUUCAACAUAUUUAAUAUUCUCUUAAACAUAACAUAAAUAUGGAACUAUGUUUUGAUGAUGUCACCAAGGUGCGCAGUUGUGUGCGAGAGUAAAAAAGAUGUACGCAUACAGCGCCGGUUACUGAUGGUGGCUGUCCCUGCAGUGGUCCUGGCUUACCCCUGCCUGUCACAAACAGACGUUCCCCGUCUCCGGAGUACUAAGGUCCGAAGCUCGGGAUCUCAGUCACCCCUCUGUGGCGCGUGACAAUGGUUUGUGCCACUCAGGAUCAGCCCACUGAGCGGGCACGGCCACUCCCACCAACACACCUGUGGCUCGUCUUUCAUCGGGAGAGGUUGGGCAUUUAAGCUGCCGAAGUCUCAGAAGCCGGUGCGAAGUCUUGUGCAUGUUGCCAUCACAUUCUGAGCGUUCGCUUGAUAUCCUGUUUCUGCCUACCUGUUAUUGACCUCUCCUUUGUCCCAGACCUCGUUCACGCCUGCCUGACCCUCGACGGUACCUCUGCCUACCACCGCGCUCCCGGCUUUCGACCCCUGCCUGUUCACCGGACCCUACCACGCCUGAUCCUUGUCUGUACCCCGCUAAUAAAAUUGCGCUCUGCGCUUGAGUUCACUCUGGUCUCUUGUGGUGCGUUACACUGCCUUAAUAAUCCUUGAUAUUUUAAUAAUUUCCGUCGUAGGAAUUGAAUGUACUGUACAUCUUUAAGUUGUUCAUACUGUACACCCCUCUGCUGUUUUCCUUCAGGUUUCUCCCAGUUGAAGGUUUUUUUUUCCUUUAUCUUAAGUUUGUAGCUUCAUUGAUCACUAUUAUAUACAUGAAAUACUAUGAGGUUAAUCACUAUUAAUGGAGAGACACAGAAAAGGUUCAGGUACAUCUUCAAUCAAAUUCAUAGUAAUGUUCGCAUUUAACCUGGAUGAGGACCACCACACUGAUUAUCAGCCUCUUGAUGUUUGAGUAACAGGAAGACAAACUGUGUAUUUGGAAUGUAGUCCUAUCUAAUAAAAUAUUAACUGUUUAAUUGUUACUGUAUCCAACCUCUCUUAUAAAGAGGAAACCAUUAUAAAGCUAAUGCAGUGUGAUGUAGCAACAGCCCUGAAUUAAAUGUCCACCUUAGUAACGUUUUAUGUGUUUCUUCCAUCCAUUCUGAAUACAAAUUAGAUAUACACAUCAGUGUAAUCCAGUAAAGUCCAGCAGCACAGCAAACUUCAUCUGCUUUAGAAAGAUGUUUGACUGUAUAAGAACUCUGAUCUGAUCGAUUGAGAUAUUUUGCCUAGUUAUUUUAUGUCUUAUAUAUAAUACAUUUACUCUGGUGCUCCAUUUUAUGUGUGUAUAUAUAUAUAUAUAUAUAUUCUUAUUCUCACCCGGGAGUUGUUUUCUUACCCUUUCUUAGUAUUUGCCAGUGGCUACCCCUAUCGGACUGGUGCGAAACACCGUGAAUGGAGAGGACUUGAACGGCCCGAUCACAUACAUCCUGAUCACUUCCUCCUGAUCUCUUUCUCAAUCAGCUGACAAACUGUAUUGGGAUCAUUAACCGCAGACGUUACAGAAGGCAAAGCCAUGACUCCGACACGGAACCCUUGUGACAAACCGGUUAACAGAUGGUCUACAAACACAGAAUUAGGAUGAGAAGACAGUUCAACAGAUAGUGCUUGCAGAUUUAUUGGUGUAGACCAGGGGUCUCAAACUCAAAUCAGCUGCGGGCCAGAUGCAGCCCACUUCAACUGAACGCGGGCCAGACUAGCAUCCGAACGGCAUGGUCGACAAUAACACAACUUAACACUCACUUUCAAAAGCAGUCAUUGAACCCCACCCUGGGGGAUCGAUCCGAAUGAGACUACAACACUAGUCCUCCUUUAACUCAGCGGGGGAGACCUAAGGUCAUGUGACCGUGGAAUUCCUUUAUAGCCAAACGUGAAGUUACGUGAAUCGAAGCUGCGUAGUAAUGGACGGAGACGCUCGUCGGUGACGUCAGAUGCUUCAUGUGUUGUUAGUGUGAGUCGUAAAGGAAAACUUUAUUAAACGAGCAAUGCUAACGGUUAGUCACAUGAUCACCUGCGCGAAAGAGGGCAGGAAACUGAAUUUCACCCUCCUGCUCUCUGCACCUCGGCCGACACACACGACCCGCCCCCCAUGUCAGUCACAUGCAUGCCACGUUCACUGGACAAGCACACAGUAGGAAACCAGAACAUCAUAACAUGUCCCACACAGCAGCUGACAGUGGGGUUACAGUAUAAAACUUGCGGGCCGCACUAACAUUACACUUUCAUAUUAAGGAUGGGGCCACAAAAUAUCGUCCCGAGGGCCGCAAUUGGCCCGCGGGCCGCAAGUUUGAGACCCCUGGUUUAGACGGAUGCUGCAUCAAAAUGUCUUUGGCCCACAACGUUUCCCUCCCCGUGGAGAAAAUCUGGACGUGCGCCGGGGGCAGAUGGUGAUGCGCAUCCUUGCAGAAGCUGCAUAUGUGAAGAAAACAACAGUUUUGAUACGUGCAUAAGCUUUCAUUGAAGCUGAAGCAAUUUUGUCCAGUUUAGGCACCUCACGGCCAGAGAAUGUAGGCGGAAACAAAGCCGCGGGACACAACUGAUCCAGGUGGCCCGGAUUCCCGCAGGAACUGCACGACACGGUUUGCGUGCCACCCGCGACCCAUGAGCAAUAACUCCGUAUCCAGCACGGACCAGUUCACCCGGGAGUUGUAUUGCGUGAUAAACAGGGCGGCUUUGCUGGAAAAAGCCUUAUGGUACUGGUAAAAUAUGUUCCUUCCAUACUAAAGAUGUAGAUCACCGAUCAGUGCCAUGUACGCAUCUAACUCCUGUCUUCUGUCAGAGAAGACCGCACAUAACACGUCCCAAAAUACGCCGAACGCAACCAGGAACUGUCCAGUUGACAGAUCUCUGAGCAGCCGUGGAUCUGCCGAGUUAAACACAGCAGCAAUGUUACCACCGGAGGCUACGCUAGUCUCACACUCAGGGCAUGGCAACAUGAUGCUAUCAAGAUUGAUGUCUCUCCCUUGUAGUAUUUUAGACCUCAGCCAAGGAGUGAUGUUUGCUGUCUGUGGGAUGUGCGGCCUACCCAUUGCUGGAGCCGGGAAUGCAGAGGCCAGCGAAUGUUGGGUGACUUCUAUUUGUGCUGACGUGGAAGGCUGAGUGCGCAAAGCGGCUGCCUGUAGCAUGGAGCCCUUUUUGGCGGCGACGGUGGCUGCUGCUGUGGACUGACUUGUCGCGUCUUCGGGUUAGGACUGCAGGAGAGCAUCAAUGGUGUGCAUAGAACUCACCAGGGACUGCAGGGUAGUGAGAACUACGUUGUCGGCGGUGGAUGACCCAGGAGUUGCUGGUGGAGCAAGCGUACGCAACUGUGGUGGCGGGCGUGGUUUGGCUCGGCUGCAGGGGGCACGGAGAAGGGAGUGGUUCAGGGAACGGUGUCGGGGGAGGCAAUUGGCCUCAGGUGAAAUUAAUCAGUGUGUCUGUGGGUUCUACCUUUUAAGUAGGAGAAAUCCGGCGACAGCGAGAGACUGCGGAGCGAGGCGAGGAGGCUGGAGCCGGCUGUCUAGUAUUGUGUGUAAACAUUAAAAAAAAGAGUAUAAAAUGGAACAGACCGCUACACUCUCGUCAUUCCGGGACCCCCCGUAGGACGAACCUGCCACAGCGACGUACCCGCUUUCUUCUUCGCCUGUGGUGCUGGAGAUGAGCCGGCAUUCCUCGCUCUUUUCCGCCCCCCGCUGCAGCCGCCGGUUGGGGCUCAACCAGGUUACUGCUAGCUGUAAGCCCGAUUAGCUGUUGUAGCUGGGAUAACGGCAGGCCUGGAGAUGGAAUCACGCCCCGAUCCGCAAGCUGAGCCAAGAGUAUCGCUUGAUCGUCUGGAGGGGAGCUGCUGCGCAGCGCCAGGCGAGAGCUUCUGCGCUGGGCGCCCGGCGGCCUAAAAUCCGGCUACGGCUGGCCAACGAGCCCGUGACCUGCCUCUCCUGGCAACAGAUCCACCUCGGAAUCUGACAUGAUCCUUACCCACCCAGGUAGUUGGUGUGAAAGAAGCCUUGGCUGGAGUCUUGAAUCUCAGGAAGGUACUUGGCAUUUGAAGGGCAGGAAUAAUUCAGCCAUAUUGCAAAUCUAACAGACUGUGAACAUAACCAUCCAUUAUGGUGUCACAACUGGCCAGCAAGAGUACUGAAAAGUGUUGUUUGGCUGGGUUUUAUUGCUUGUCAUCAUUUUGUGGAGUAACUUAAACAACAUACAAAGAUAUAUUAUUUUCAUUGUUAUAUUUUCUGUAAAAUACAUAGUAAUGGUAGAUGUUCAGUAAGUAUAUAGCCGAUUCCUAUAUUACAGCCAAUAAUAAAAGGCUGCAUGUAUUCACAUAGCUAAUGGUUCUAAUAUAUUUCAUUAAUUAAAAAAAUCAGCAUAAUAUAUUGUCUUGGAAAAGUUAAUGUUUUUUUAUGCACAGGCUACAUUACAGGUCAUUUAGCCUAACGCUUUUAUCCAAAGCAACUUACAUUGCAUUUUUAACCCAUGUUUUUUUUUUUUACAUUUUUUCCCGGUGAGCAACUAGGGGUUAGGUGUCUUGCUCAGUGACACUUCAACAUGGGACAUGGAGCAGCCGGGGCUCAAACCACCAACCUUGGGGUCCCUGGCGCACCCUCUCUACCCCUGCGCCACGUUGUUUCUAAAAUGUAAUGAUUGCAUUAAAUGCAAUAAUUUAGCUACUAUUCUUAUUGUAUAAUGAAACCGCUCUUCAGAAAACCUGCCACAAAAAAACACUUCAUAAAUAACUGAGGUCAUGGGUAUCCAUCAGUACAAAAACUGCAAAAGCACAGCUGCUCUGAAUCAUCAUAAAAUAUUCAACAGAGGAAAUAAUAACUAAUUGCCAUUUUCAAAUAACGACUUUGAGCUGUCCAAGACCAACUGAUUCAUUACAUUGAUUAUCUAUUAGUUUAGCAAAGGUUAACAUUGCACGGUUAACCAACAAAGUAAGACAGGAAGACAAGCUUUGCCAUCAUGUUCAUUCAUGACGUUGCUCCCUCUGUUGGUUUGAUUAACCAACCCUAGGUUGGCAUUGUCCACGCAAUCCAACGAUAUCUUUGCUGCCACACUUCCAAAGCUGUUCUCUUGGCUGCUGUCAGUUGUCAUUUCAGCGUGCCGGAGAUGAUUGUUCUUUAAAAUGUUGAAUUGUUGGUAUUUCUAAUUUCAAAUUUUUUAUAUUACCACCUGUUCCCCAUGCUGGAACUAGUUGCCAAACUGAAUCAUCUGUAAAUGAUAGAUCAAGCUCCUUGCUGCUCAAACUGAAACUUUGUCUCCGCUGCUCUUCAUGCCACUGACAAACGAGGUGAAAUUCGCCUGACUCAUGUCUGGAGUUCCGUGGCAUCUUUGCAGUCCUGGUGUCUUCAGAGAGCUCGUUCCACCAUUUCGGAGCAAGGACAGCAAAGAGUCGUGAUCUUGUUGAGUGUUUUGCUCUCAGUGAGGGAGGAACGAGCAGUUUAUCAGAUGCAGAGCGAAGAGUGCAGGUCGGGAUGUCUGGUUUGACCAUGUCCUGGAUGUAAGCUGGACCCGAUCCAUUCACAGCAUUGCAUGUGAGCACCAAUGUUUUGAACUGGUAGCCAGUGAAGAGAUCGUAGGAGUGGAGUAGUGUGGGAGAAUUUAGGAAGGUUAAAAACCAGUCGAGCUGCUGCAUUCUGGAUGAGCUGAAGAGGUCGAAUGGCGGUAGCGACGUGCCAGGAGGGAGUUGCAGUAGUCUAGGCGGGAGAUGACAAGAGCCUAAAUCAGUACCUGUGCUGCCUUCUGAGUGAGAAGCAGACGUAUUCUCCUGAUGUUGUAGAGCGUGUAUCUACAGGAUCGUGUUGUCGCUGUGAUGUUGGGAGUCAGGGAAAGUUGGCUGUCGAGUGUGACGCCGAGGUUCCUAGCAGUCAAAAUGGGCGUUAGCACGGAGUUGCCAAAGUUGACCGUCAAGUCCCGGGUCGGAGAAUCUCUUCCCGGAAGGAGAAGAAGUUCAGUCUUGUCGGGGUGGAUUUUCAGAUGGUGAGCGUCCACUGAGAUGUCAGUCAGACAGGCAGAGAUCCGUGCCGCCACCUGGGUGUCCGAGUGAGGGAAGGAGAGAAUUAGUUGGGUGUCAUCGGCAUAGCUCUGGUAGGAGAAGCCAUGCAAGCGAAUGACAGCGCCGAGAGAGUUACGAGCAGGACAUGUCCAAGAUGGCGCAGACGAUGGCUGCCACGGUGCUUCGGUGCGCUUCGUUUUUUGUUGUUAAUUAUGUUUCCUGUUGCGAUUCCGGGAGCUCUUGAAGAUCCGAGGAACAACUCCAGCGGAGUUACUUACUUUUACCAACUUACCAACUUUUCUUCUAUCUUCUGUGGUAUUACUGGACACUCUAGUCAAAGGUGCGCUCACCUUUCAUCACGCUGUGAAACGCUGUAGGAGUGGAAAACGUGCCGGCUCGUUAGUGAGACUGCGCAAGCAUGGUUCUCGCACACCGCUGCCAGGCAUCUUUCUCUCCAACGUGCGCUCACUGUGCAACAAACUGGACAGAAUUAAGCUGCUGGUGAGGAGAGACAGAGACUUUUCUACGUCCUCCGUUUUGUGCUUCACAGAGACGUGGCUCUGCGGAUCGAUACCGGACUCUGUGCUUCAGCUGCUCAGAGCGGACACGGAGCUCUUUGGCAAAACAAAGAGUGGAGGAAUCUGCUUCUUCUUCUUCAACACCAGCUGGUACAACGACGUAGCGGUGAUCCUACAACACUGUUCUCCUGAUCUGGAAACUUUCUUCAUUCAGUUUGCUUCAUUCAUCCUGGUCGGUGUUUACAUGCCACCGCCGGCGGGCAACGUGCACACAGGACACUCGCCGGCCAGAUACGGCGUGUGGAGCGGACCAACCCGGACUCCUUAGUUAUUGUUGUUAAAUUGUACUUGUAACGUCACUCAUCCAUAGCAAAUUGUAAAUUGGCUUAUUUGAGGAAAUUGCACCUUUCUUGUUUCUUGUUCUCCUCAGUUUGUACCCUAUGGUUGAAUGCACUUAUUGUAGGUCGCUUUGGAUUAAAGCGUCCGCUAAAUGACAUGUAAUGUAAUAAUGUUCUCUGGGACUUUAACAAAGGAAAUCUCACCCAUGAACUCAAAUACAGUUCAUUAAAUGCCUCAUCAGAGAGGAGAACACGCUGGAUCACUGUUACAUGACAGUAAGCAGGGCUUAUUACACCAUCCCACGUGCUCCACUGGGACACUGACCACGUCAUGGUCCACUUGAUUCCUGCAUACAGGCAGAAACUAAAGCUCUGCAAACCUGUGGUGAGGGAAUUCAAGAACUGGACCAGUGAGGUGCUGGAGGAUCUUUGGGCGUGCUUGGACUGCUCAGACAGGCAGAGAUCCGUGCCGCCACCUCGGUGUCCGAGUGAGGGAAGGAGAGAAUUAGUUGGGUUUCAUCGGCACAGCUGUGGUAGGUGAAGCCAUGCGAGCGAUUGACAGCGCCGAGAGAGUUGGUAUAGAGCGAGAAGAGGAGGGAACCCAGGACGGAACGCUGACGAACUCCAGUAGUAAGAGGACAUGGUUCCGACACAGAUCCUCGGCAGGUUACCCGGUAGGUGCGCCCAUUGAGGUAGGACGAGAGAGCAGAGUCUGAGACACCAAGUUCCUGAAGGAAGGAAAUAAGGAUCUGGUGGUUGACUGUGUCAAAUGCUGCGGAGAGGUCCAAAAGAAUGAGGACGGAGGAGAGAGAGGUGGCUCUAGCAGUGUGGAGUUACUCUGAGACAGCAAAGAGAGCAGUCUCUCUGGAAUAGCGUGCCUGACUGGUGUGAGUCAAGGAGGUUGUUACGGUGGAGAUAGGAGGAGAGUUGGUUAAAGAUCGCACGUUCAAGGGUUUUGGACAAAAAGGGUGUGGUGGCGGGGCGUGGUUAGCUCAGCUGCAGGGGGGAGAGCGGGAGAGUGGUUCAGCGGACGGUGCUGGUAGGUGAGCAGAAAGCACAGGUGGAAAUAAUCUGCACUGAUUGUCUCUGGAACAGUGAGCAGGAUCCAGAUCGGGGGACGUGAGCAGAGCUGAGCACGAGAGCUGAGCUGUGCUGAGCAGGACAGAGCGUAGCCGAGCAACAGCGCGACGAGCGGCCUCAUUCCUGCCCACUGACCCCUUGCAAAAUAAAAGACGUAUUGCUCUCAACGCGUGUCUGUGCGUCCUUACGGAACCCGGCGGUGGUAGCGCUAUCACGGCCACAAAGGGAAAAAGAGAGACCGGCCUGUAGUUGUUUUCUUCAGAAGGGUUGAGGGUAGGUUUCUUCAGGAGUGGGUUAACUCUUUCCUCCUUCAGGGAAUUGGGAAAACAGCCAGAUAACAGAGCAUUGUUGAUGAGACAGGUGAGGAAAGGAAGAAGGUCCGAAGCAAUAGAUUGUAGAAGAUGUGAUGGAAUGGGGUCAAGAGGGCAGGUGGUGGAUGGGCGGAGGUUACCAGGGUAAGAAUUUGGUUCGGAGACAGGGGGGGUGAAAGAGGAAAGCGAGGGCGAUAGAGGUGAAGUCAGUGGAACGCAAGUAGUAGGAGGUGGGUUUGAGAAAGAGGAGCGUAUGUCAGCUAUUUUCUUGGUAAAGUAGUUGACAAAGUCUCUCGGAAGAAGGGUGGAGGACGACUAGGGGGUUUGAGGAGGUUGGAGAAGAUCGAAAGUUUUUUGGGGUUAGAAAAUGAAGAUUCAAUUUUGGAUUGGUAGAAAGAUCUUUUGGCAGCAGAGAUAGAAGCAGAAGAGGAGAGAAGAUACAUUGAAACUGAAGCAGGUCAUCAGGUUGUUCAUAUUUACGCCAUCUCCUUCCGAUGCUCGCAUGGUGGCUCUCAUGGCACGCACCGGUAGAAACAGCCACGGAGCUGGAGGGGAUUUGCCAGUCCGUUGUGUCGUAAGAGGGCAGAGAGAGUCUUAGCGGCAGCGUUCGGAUGCAAGAGUGAGAAGGAGUCAGUAGAAGAAAGCGCUGAUGGAGGAUGCCAGGGAGGAGGACAAAUUUUGCGACAAACAGGUACAGAGUCAGUUGAUGGGGAAGGGUCGUUAGUUAUAGAGAGUGGGAGAGAGUAAGAGAUGAACAAGUGGUCAGACACAUGAAGGGGAGUUACAGAGAGGUUAGUGGUAGAACAGUUUCUGGUGAAGAUGAUUGCCGGCUUUGUGAGUAGGAUAGGGACUGAGUGAUAGAGCGAAGGAAGAAAGUAGGUAUAAGAGGUCAGAUGACUUUUCUGUCUGGAUGUUGAAGUCACCCAGGAGGAUGAGCGGAGGGCCAUUUUCAGGAAAAUUGGACAGGAGAAUUUCCAGUUCUUCCAAGAAAUGACUCAAGGAGCAUGGCGGACGGUAAAGGACAACAAUAUUUAAUUGUACCGGGUGAGUAACUGUUACAGCAUGGUAAAAAUAAGUAGACCUGUGCCGCCACCCCUACCAGUGGGCCUGGGUGUGUGGCUGAAGAAGGCGGAGGAGAGAGCGGCUGUGGUGGAUGUAUUCUCAGGUGUGAUCCAGGUCUCGGUGAGAGCGAGGAAGUCAAGCGACUGCUGGAUACCGAAGCCGGAGAUGAAGUCUGCCUUGCCAGUAGCUGACUGGCAGUUCCAGAGGCCCCCUGUAACGAGGUGCUGGAUAUGUGAGGACCGGGUGGUAUAGGUGAGAGAGGAGAGGUUACGAUAGCAGAUCUAGCACGAGGCCUGUAAUAUCUGCGUAAAGAGAUUCAAACAGGUACGGGUAAAGGGCUCAAACACAGUAUUGAAAAUGGCAGAAGAAGGCGCUGCAUUCAGCCGCCACGAAAGACUCCCUAGUCUUUGUCCUGCUCGUCUUGACUCCCACGAAAGACUCCCUUGUCUUUGUCCUGCUCGUCUUGACUCCCACGAAAGACUCCCUUGUCUUUGUCCUGCUCGUCGUGACUCCCACGAAGGACUCCUCGUUAGUGGAAGUCGGAUACGGCAGCGCUGACCACUCCCCUGUCGUUUAGGAGACAAAAGGUUGAUAGGCCUCGGCAGAAACUCCUCAAAAUGCAAAACACCCAUCGCUUAACACCCUAAUCAGUGCACAAUCACUAUGUGGUGACAAACCUGAGAGUUUAAGGAUUCAAGUCUUUCCGCUUGAGAAGAGAAGGCUAAACAGACUUAGAUCAGGUCAAUCAUCCUGAUCCCUUUGCCUUGCCUGCCCUUUUGUGACUUAGGUCCAUCUGGGGUUGGUUUCCUGUUCUAUCUUGUAGUGUUCUGCCCCUCAUUUUGUUCGUGUUGAGUACACAAUAGUUCGGUUCUGGCUCAGUAGUGCUCCUUUUGGUGGACGCUGGUCACCAAAAGGCUAAGAAAUCUAUGUUUGCUAAGGCAACAAUUCUUGGAUCAGAAACACUUCAUAAACUUGAUAAUCUGCUACUGCUACUAAAAACAAUCACCUAAUGAUGUAGUUUCUCUAGCUUGCAUUGCCUUGGCAAUUAGCUGUUCCGUAAAGAAUCUUUGCUUUAUCAGGAUGUACCCCUUAACUCCCAAAUUAGACAAAUUUCUAAGACUGUCAGUAAAUUACGGUUAAAGGGCAGGUUUGUUAAUCUUGAGACACUACAAAGUGUACAAAGAUUUGGCCCAGUAAAAGUAGAUAGCAGCAUCAAAUGUUUUAGCAAGAAGGUUGCAGAAAAAGUGACAGCUUGAUCUUUUAGAUCUCCCUCCGAAAAAAAACUUUGGUUGUUGUUGGUUGUUUAUAUUCACACCCACAGCACACCCUCAAGCGUGCAGCUUGCAGAAAAGACUGGUGACAGCGCACAGGCAGGCAGAUAGACAGGCAGCUCACCUGUCCAACCAUUCCAUUGGGCAUGUAAGAAAUUAUUUGAUGGGCUUAUUGCGUUCCUGCAACACCAUUUCUUCAAGGCAUUUGAUUUAUUGAUCGCUGUCAUGAAGAUUUUAAAUUUAACGUCAACAAAUUUUAAGCAGAUCGUGGACCUAAAUCUUAUCCUUUUCACUUCUAGCACCAUGGAUUUCCAUAUUUUACAGCUUUUUUCUACAUAUUGUCUUUUGUUGAAUGUGUUACAUUUAGACUAAAAAGUGGAAUGGUGCAGGAAGUCAGAUCUUAAAGUGGCAUAACACCACUGCACUUACUGAAAUGUGUUUUUUUCAGAAUGUGGACAAGUGAGUUAAUUUGGCUGGGAGUAGGGUGAGACAGUGACUUAAUGCCAAGCCAGUUUUGCUGUAAGUGACAGCUGGAGAGCACUUUGCAGCACAUACAAUAUUAAAAUUGUCUUAGUAAGCAACAGAACACAUAAAAAAUACAACUGUAACUGCCUCAACAGCCUUCUGGGAUUUAAAUACAGGUCAGUGAGGAGGUGGUCAAGCUUCAAACAUUCAUAAAGUACGCAGUGCAUAGCUGCACUCUUUGUAUAACUACCCUUUAAUUUUUUUAAGACCGUAGAAUCGUCUGAUUGAUCCCCGAUUCUGCUAGUGUUCAUGUUGGUGUGUCCUUCGGCACACCGACAUAAAUAUCUCCUGUGCUGUGACUGGGCCUACUAUGGAGGACAAAAAAGUAAAAAAAACGUAUAAAUAAAUAAAUACAUAAAUGUAUUAAUAUAAGUAGAUACCUAAACAGAACAUAAUGAGCAUAGGCGGUCCUGUGGAGCACGUCUAAAAGGGCUAAUGGCUUCGGCCGGGCGGCAUGUGGCUGAGCAGCUUGAGAAUUGUUCCUGUUUAACUUGUUUAGCUAACGUUUCCUAAAUGCAGUUGUUCAAGGUGCCAACAUACUAAAGUUGUAUUAAACUUAGUGACCAGUGACUGCCACAUUGCUAUCUGACAACUGUCUCUUACCUUGUAUACGUGUGUGUGUGUGUGGUGCAUUCAAAUGCCCAACCAUCAUCUGGUAUCAAGUGUUGGGAUGUUGCUGUAGAAUUUGAGUCCCAGUAAAGCACUGAGCACUGGCCAAAGAAGCCUGAGCAGGCUACAGUAGUGAUCUCAACCGAACAAAAGGGCAUCACAUUCUGCGGCCUCGUAACAGUGGAACCUAAAGACAAUCUUUGAGAUGCUUUUCAGUUCAGUAGGUGGACAGAGCUGGUAGAAGCUACUCGUCAAGCAAGCCAGGAGGCUCAAGAGGUGGCCCAGUGUAUGGAAUAUCACCAAACUACGAACCCCCAGGAAGUGUCAAGCCCAUAGCUUCCAGGAACUCAAAUCACAGAAACCUGUCCUAAACCACAGUCGCUUGGUGAGCCUCACCCCAGAAUGGGACCCUUCAACCUGCUUGGUUCGAGUAGGAGGGAGGUUGCGAAGGAUGCAGAACACGAGCCUUGGAGAUAUCCACCCGAUUGUGCUCGAUCCAAAGCACCCAGAAACGAAACUCCUUGUCAAAACACAUGGACGAACAUCAGCUACAUCUGGUUACGGAGCGGGUGUAUGCAGAACUACGGAGACAGUAUUGGAUCUAGCGAGGAUGACAAGCUGUUAGACCACACCAGCUCAAGUGUCAAUCCUGCCAACGGUGGCGAGCUCAGCCCAAGGUCCCGAAGAUGGCGGACCUCCCACCACAGCGCCUCCGGCUUCUCUGUCCACCUUUCUAUUCAACAGGUGUUGACUGUUUUGGCCAUUGCCUUGUCAAAAUCAAAGGCACUGGGAUGUCAUCUUUAAGUGUCUCACGGCCCGCAGCAUCCACAUCGAACCUCUCAACUCUCUGGAUGUAGACGCCUUCCUUCUUGCUCUUUGGCGGUUCAGACCGAAAGAGAUACUAUCCGACUGCUGUUCUAAUUUCCGGGGUGCUGAAUGGAAACCUUGUGAGGCUUUCGCAGGUAUGGAACCACGCUGAACGAACGGCUGACGGAAUACCAGAUCGACUUCAGUUUAACCCACCUAGUGGCCCUCUCUUUGGUGUAUGGGAGAGAGGUUCGUUACAUAAAGGCCGAUCUGGAAGUUGCAGUGGGGAGCAAGUCAGUCUCCGAAGAUGUGCUCUACACAACCUUAGUAGAGGUCAAAGGGAUCCUCAACUCAAAACCACUAGGGCAGCGGUUCCCAAACUCAAGAAUGCCGCAGCACAAUUUGAAAUCUUAAAAUCUUUUGCGGCCCACCCAAACCUUUAAUCGCAACUCUGAUCAAAACAUAAACUAGGAAUGAUUAAAUGACCUUAAGAAUUUAACAGAUUAAAAAUGUAUUAACCGACAAUGUAUGUUUUGUAUAGCAUUUUCUCCGGAGCUCAUAUACCGAAUUUUCCACACAAUAAGGCGCACCUUCAAUGAAUGACCUAUUUUAGAACAUUUUUCAUAUAUAGCGCGCAUCGGAUUAUGAGGCGCAUAAAAUACUGCAGUCAAACGUUUGACGUCGGGGCGGGUGGAUGGGGGGAGGUGGAGACUGUGCUUUCAGGGUCCGAUCGAUGCUGCGAGGUGCGUCCGCUCCCGCCGCCCCCCCCUCGCCAUCCACGCCUUAAAUCUUCGGCUGCUCUCCAGCCACGCCGCCUGCCAAGGGGUCCUUUUUUAGUAUGGUUCAGUGACUGUAAAGAAAAGGGCACAAUCUCUCGCUCUUUAAUCUCAUGAAGGGCUCGGCAAGAACGACAGCUUUGUUUCUCCGACGCGCCCUGAAACAAGACAUUUUAUUUAUUUAUUGUAAAUGACCUCUCGCGGCCCACCUGCAGGGGCCCACAGUUUGGGAAUUGCUGCACCAGGGUAUGUGUCAGGAGUGAUUGGGUCAGGGUCAGUGACAUCAGCUAACAUCCUGCUCCUGGGGCGGUGGGAUGCCUCACUGCCUUCAGUGGCCUAUGCCCCAGCAGGCAUAGGAAAACGGAGAUGGCUCCACUGUCAAGUGCUUGUGGACCAGUUUUGGAUCCAGUUCACACAGAACUAUUUGCCCACUCUUCAAAAACGGCAGAAGGCCGUUGAUAAUAUAAUAAUAAUCGUUCUAAUUGUUGACCCAUCGCUUCCCAGGGCUCAGUGGCCCAUCAGGAAGAGUCUGUAAGGCAGUCCCUAGUCAGGACAGAUGUAUCACGGCUGCGGAGGUCUUGGUGAACGGUAAGUUCUACAAUAGACCGGUUGCUCGUCUAAUCCAGCUCCCUGAGUUCAAGGAUGAUACUAAUGAUUCAUGAAGAAUUACCCUUAUUAUAGAUUUGCUGCUCAAAUGUGGGGGCGGCUGUUGUGUAUUCUUCACAGACAGACAAUAUUGAUGCUUGUAUUUUUACAUUUUAUUUUGCAUACCGUUUCCACUUCCGGUGGCGUGAAUAAUACAUGUUACGCAACACAACAAUAGUCAGAUCAAGUCAUUGACGAUGUAAGUCAUAUUACUUCAACUCUACCUAAUAAUUUUGAAAGAAAACAAACUUGUGUGUUUACUGUUAGUGUUGGUUCUAUUACAUAUCCGCUCAUAAUAGCCCAACGUUGAGCUAAGUGGCUAAUCUGGCUAGUGGGCUUGUAUUCUUGUUAAUGGAAGUUGUGUAUUACUGCUUUUUCUGCUGCCAAAUAUUUGGUUCUGUAAUUUGGUUUUCUGUUUAUUUCAGAAACUCCAUCUUUCUGCCCAACUGUCUAUCAGAAUCUGCUUAUAUUGGCCAUGUAGGUUUGCACAUACAUGGAAUUUGUCUCCGGUUACAUGUUGCUCUGUCAUACAUAGAUGAACAGAAUAUAAAAAAAUCUGAAAAAAUACAUUAAGAACAACGAAAUAGAACACAAAACCUAAGCAUAAACAUUACUGAUAUGUACAAUACAAAUAUGACUUGUAUUCCAAUAUACAAGUCAUAUUUGUAGUCCAAUAUAAAUAUGUAGUGCAGAUGGAGGUGUGUUGUUAAUUGUUCAUCAGAGUGGCUGCUUGUGGAAAGAAGCUGUUCCUGUGCCUGGUGGGUAUUGGCAUACAGUGCUCUGUAGCGCCUAGCAGAGGGGAAGAGUUAGAGCAGCUUGUGUCCAGGGUGUGAGGGGUCUGCAGUGAUCUUGCCAGCCCGUUUCCUGACUCUGGAGGUAUACAAGUCCAGGAUGGAGGGCAGGCUGGAACCAAUAGUUCUCUCUGCAGACCUGACAAUCAAUUAUAGUCUGGCUCUGUCCGGUUUGGUGGUCGAUCCAAACCACACAGUGAUGGAAGAACAGAGAACAGACUGGAUGAUGGCGGAGUAGAACAGAAUCAGCAGCUCCUGAGGCAGGUUUUACUUUCUGAGCUGGCGCAGGAAGUACAACCUGCCUCAGGAGCUGCUGAUUCUGUUCUGCUGGGCCUUUUUCCGAAUGGAGUCGAUGUUGGAGCCCCACUUCAGGUCCUGGGAGAUUGUGGAUCCCAGAAACCUCGACAGCAGACACAGUGGUGUCGAGUGUAGAGAGGGGGGGUAGUGAUUGAGGGCUCUUCCUACACUCCACAGUCCACAGUUUUGAGCUUGUUCAGCUCCAGGUUGUUCUGCCCACACCAGAGGACCAACCUCCCGUCUGUACGCAGACUCCUCUGCGAACUUCAGGAGUUUAACAGAUGGGUCACCUGAGAUGCAGUCGUUGGUGUUGAGGGUCUGUAGUUGUUUUCUUCAGAUGGGUUGAGGGUAUACUGAGGACAUACUGAAUAUUGCCAUCUGAUUAUUAUUAAUUAAUCUAAAUCUAAAUAAGAUCACGUUUGUCUUUUUUUAUUGUAGCAACCAAGAACUGCUGAUAUUCUUAGACAUUUGGUUAUUAAAACGCUGUAACUUUAAAGUUACUCAGUUCCAAUUCAUAACAGAAGAGUUACUUCGUUCUCUGUGAGUUUGUCUUCAUUUAUGGUGAGAGUUCCGUUACCAUUUUGUUAAUGUCUUAUCCUGCUGUUCCUCUAGACCAUGAUAAUAUUCUCCAAUAAGCAAACCCUCUAUACUGAAAUAGUAGUAUAGUAAAUUGUCAGGGUUUUUGGACUGCAGUACCCUGAAGGACCAUGUGGGGUCCUCAGUGUUCCAGUUAUUCCUGUCACAUGUGUGUUGUCUUGAUUGUUUUCAUUGUGUUCACCUGUUGUUUUCAUUGUGUUCACCUGUGCCUUAUUUGCUCGCCUUUAAAAGCCACCCGAGUUUCUUUGUGUUUGCCGAGUCUUGGAAGUUGACACCGUGAGUUUCUAAGAGAACCGCUGUCUAGAUGCUUUACCGCUGUUAAUCCUUUUUUGGUUCUUGAGAUCUUUUGUUGCCUCUUUUUUGGACACCCUUAGUUACUUUGUUAAUUGCCCAGACUUUUUUUUUAGUGUUCUGGAAGUAUUUUUGAGCUGCUGUCAAACCUUAUGGAAUCCUCUGCUUUAUUCAAGUAAAGAAACCUUUUUUUUAAUUCCCUACCAGUCUCUCUCUGUCUCUGCGCCUAAAUCAUCAUCAUCACUUGUAGUACGGUGGUAGGCAAUCCGCCUGCUACAGAGACCCAGGUUCGGAUCCCGACGAUCCUGAUAGUAAAUUAUACCAAUGAGCAGAGAGAUUUGAUUUGCACUGGAGUUCAUGCCAGCUGCAACUUGUCUUUGUUUUUUGCAAAUAAAAGGGUUCUCUUGAUAGUAACAGAUCAUCAGCCUAAUGUAAUGGUAUCAGCAGUGUGCUUUAUAAACUGAUAUCACACUUGAUGGAGGUAUAGCAAAAUGAUGGGAAAGCAGAGCGCUACACUAGUUUGUUUGAACAUAAGUCUUCAAACCUUUAUUUGCAGUAUGCUUUUUUUUUUGUGUGGAAGGACUUUCAAAAUGUUAUGACAUAACUGAAAAUGCAGAAAUUACAGCUGUGGGUCUGUAAAAUACAUUAGCACCUUGUUGAGUGAGGAAAAAAAAAUCAGAACAAAAACAAAUCCAGCACAAUCUUACCGAUCAAACGGACAUCUUGGAUUAUUGCCGCUUUAGAGAACAGAAGUAUUUUUAAAAUGAUCCCCUUAAUCUGUAAACAUGCUGAAAUCCUUUUUGUCAAAGGAGAAAUCUUCAAAUCGUGUUAGUGCAUCACAAGCCUUUUUAGCUAAACUGGGUCGUUUUAGCUAAUUUACCAAAUGCACCAGACUUUUCAUUUUUCAGAGGCAGAUGCUCAAACAGCAUUUUUAAAACUGGAAAUUAUAUUUGGACUAGCAGCUUAGCAGACAUUAGCAAAGAACCUAAACCAAACAACUAACGGGAAGGGCUGUAGAGUUAAAACAUUUCUCCGAUACAUGUGUGUAGGUCAGCGGUCUUCAACUAAAAUGUGAAGCGGUCCAGUUACAGAAAGUUUCCAGAAGCAGAGGUCCGGAAGAUCAUAAUGUGACUACUUGGUAUGAUUAAACAGAGGAAUACCAGUUGUAUCAACAUUUCCAUGUAGUCAAUACACAACUAACAAAUCAAAUGAAUUCAGUAUAAUUUUAAAAUUUGGGUGACUAUUUAUUGUCACGUAACAAAGAACUGAACAUAUAUCUGUGACUGCAAAUAAUUAAUGUUCUCAUUUAACUAAUAGUACGGCUAAAUUUAAAAAAGGACCAAGCUUGAAUUUCACCUUUUCUGCUAUACAUCAGAGAUAAGUCUCAGCAAAUUAUGAAUAAUAAAUCUAAACACAAUUUGAACAGUUGAAUAGAAUGUCGCUAUCUUUCUUUUCUUCUUAGUCUUUUUAUUUGUAAUUUGCCGCUCGUCCUGCCUGAAAUGCAAAGACUCGAUUGGUCGAGUACUAUCACGUGGGAUGGGUUAACUUGAAUGCAAUUGGUCUGUGCUUUAAGACCAAAGCUGCGCAGUUGAAAAGUGCGCUGUCACGUUUAAAUCACAACCGUCUUCUGGGUCCCUAUCCGGACUACGGUUCGCCAGUUAGUGACAUCUGGUGUAGGUGAUCGCAAAGACUAACAUGCAGAAUAUAUAAAAAGAUGAUUUGAUAUGGAGUAUAGGAUUCUCAUCAUUUGAUAACGAAAAAUAGUAAUCAGUGCACAACCGUUACUGUAAUCUGAAA
ensembl:lncRNA